ensembl:snRNA U6 U6 spliceosomal RNA
GUGCUCGCUUCGGCAGCACGUAUACUAAAAUUGGAACAAUACAGAAAAGAUUAGCAUGGCCCCUGAGCAAGGAUGACAUGCAAAUCUUUUGUCCCAACUUGUU